AUCAUAUGCUCUGGAAAAUACUAUAUUGUCCUUCUGUUACCAAAUUUAGCCACGUGGAUGCCUUAACAAUCUUCCUUUUAUUUUGCUUCUACUACCAACCCUAAUAUCUCUCUCUUGACUAUUCUUCUUCCUCCAAUUUCUUCCUCUUUCUAUCUCUCUUCCCUCUCUUCCUUCUUCUCUUUCUCUUCCUUCUCUUUCUUUAACACUGAGAUAAAACUAUAAUCCCUAAUCUAAAGGAUUUUUGCGUUUCCGAAAGACAUAUGAUUUCGGUGAAGUGAAAAUCGUUGCUCGGUGGAUCUGUUUCUCCUCUUUCUGCUUUUUAGAUAUGUUCUUCUUUUUGGAUUAACAAGUUUGAUUAUUUACAUUACUUUUUGUCAGAGAUACAAUGGUAGGUUUGAAAGUUAUGAAAUUUUAACUUUAGGAUUUUCUUUCUUUUUGGUAUUUGAAUCAAGGGUUAUUCGUAGGUUUUUGCAAAGAGGUUGUCCGAGGAAAAAAUGGAUGGUUUGAAAGAGUAGGUUUUGCACUUUGUCGGUGUUGGUUCGCAGUGGAUUUCAAAUUUGGAGUAGUAUGUCCUUUUGAUUGAUAACUCAAACGGCAGACGGGUCGGUUGCUGGUGUGGUGUUAUCGCCUUUGCCGAUCUUGUCUUCAGGUCCUUUUUCUAGUGAUUUUUCACCGGGGAAGCAAGGGAAACCGAAGGGGAUGGAGUUCAAGCAGGCGAUAAAAGUUGGAGAAACAAGAAACAAAUGUUUUACUCGUCGCUUUUGUGGACCGACAUCCACCGUUUGGGUUCUGAAUAAUCCACAACUGCUGAUACAAUGGAAUGUUCAUUUUCGCUAUGGAUGCUAUAAAAAAAGGAAUGAGCCAUUACGUUUUCACCGUCUACAGUAAUGCUAUCGCCAUUGUAACAUUAGUUCCAUUUGCAUUUUAUCUAGAAAGGUCUCUCCCACAACCUCUUUCAUUCAUUCAUAAUUAGUACUAUAGUUAUACGUAUCAAGCAUUUUAAUUAGGCUGUUCUAAAAGUUAUGUUUUGUUUAUUCUCUUUCAGGAAAAUUAGGCCGAAGAUGAGUCUCCGUGUAUUUUCAGAGAUUAUGUUACUAGCUUUUUUUCGAAUUGGAGCACAUGAAGAUAAAGGAAGUAGCAUGUCAAGCCAAAAUGAUCGGUACUGCAGUAACAUUUGCAGGAACAUUGCUAAUGGCUCUAUACAAAGGUCCUGUAGUUAGUGUUGUGAAGUCAUCCAUUAGUCAUGCUACCAACCAUCCCGAGAUUGUGAACGAUUGCGGUAAUGACAGGUGGAUCAUAGGAACAUGUUUCCUCCUCAUUGGAUGUGCUGGCUUUUCCGCCUUUAACAUAUUGCACGCCAUAACAUUGAGAAAGAACCCGGCACCCAUGUCGCUGGCUACAUGAGUUUGUUUCACUGGCGCACUUCAAAGCUUUGUUACGACAAUUAUCGUUGAGCGUCAUAAUUUUCAUGCUUGGGCUCUUGGUUGGGAUUCACGGCUCUUCGCCCCAGCUUAUGCGGGGAUAGUUACAUCAGGAGUACAAUAUUACAUACAAUGAGUGGUUAUGAAAGCUAUGGGCCCAGUUAUUACAAAUUUGAAUGCUGAACUGGUUUUAUGGAUGACUUACAGCAGCUUUCAUUUAAACCUGUAAAGCAACAAAGUACCAUUGUAUACGAAUGACUUACAAAUGACUUACAACAACUUAUAGCUAAUUUCAAUUGAAUGUGGGACAAAUACAUGAAGCGACGAUGAUAGUUGCAAGAAGAAAAUGGAAUACAAGUUUAUCCAGACAUGGCUCCAAUGAGCUCCAAUGAACUUAAUUAAUUAAAAUAUUUAGAUAUUUAAAUUCAUAGCAUGUAUAGCUGUUCAAGCCAUGGCUCCAAUGGGCUUGGGUUUGUCUCAUAGCUUAUCCAUAUACAAGUUGAAGUUUAGUGCUGACAAAGUGUAUAUUGCUGUUGUUGACUCUAAAUAUAUUAGUAGUUUGCUGAGAAAGUGGAUAAACCUACUAGUGUGGAAGAACCACCUGUGGGAGACAAUCCUAUCACUCAACAAGAGGGAAUGCCAACACGAGGGCAAUGGUCUUAAAGUACAAGAUAAGGUGGAAACAAGAUAGUAUCUUUUUCAGACGGUUUGAGGAGCAAAAAUGAGUUCCAUGUCUGUAAUUUUUGUUCUCGGUGAUCAUAUAUUUUCAUAUUUCAUUAAUUGCAAAAGUUAGAUUGUAAUGAUAAGUGCAAUUAUAGAUGUAGCAAAGCUUCAAGGCAAAAUAUAUGUUUGAGAGCAUGCAGUGAUUGUUGUAGAGUAUGCAACUGUGUUCCACCAGGCACAACUGGGAAUUGAGAUUUGUGUCCUUGCUAUGCAUCCAUCACCACACAUGAUGGAAAGCUCAAGUGUCCAUAGAUAUAUAACUCAUCACUAAUUUUACAAAUUAUAUUUGAAGUUACUUUAUUAUAUGCAUGCUGUAACAAUGUUGUAAUGAGCUAAGAAAAAUAAAUAAGAUGUUUUAAGAAGCCAGUAGUGCUGUAUCAAUUGACAAUUAACUUCAUUUCUCCAAAAUCUUCAACAACAAAAAUUAUAGUGAAUUUAGCACAAUCA